rnacentral:misc_RNA from 1 species
AUCAUAUAUCAAGAGAGGAGAAUUUGUUUCCUACCUCGUUUUGACUGUGUCGGAUCGUGGGCAGCACGCAGUUUGUUACUUUCUUGAGAUGCGUUUUCUUGUUUCUCGGAGCAAGUACGGAGUUAGCAAAUGCACGAGUGCUACGAUGCACGCGUGCGCUGAGCCAAGUCCUCCUCCUACCCGGUUUGUGUCGUCGAACACUGCAUAGAAAAACGAAACUCGAUGGAGACCGUUUGUGGAAAUCCCGAAAAUAUAGUAUUUCGCACGUUGAACGGCGCUGUUGACGUCGGUGCGUUGGAAACGGAGAUUAAAACGGUUUCUUUUCGAUCGAUUCUGUUUUUCUUUUGGCGUGGAUGUUGUUCGAAAGACCUUGGGACGGAUGAUGGACGGAGUUGGUUGGCUCGUUGGAACGCGGCGUCUGCAUUAAAUCUUGUGGCGUUGAUUUGCACACACUUCUUGCUGGGGAGAGAACGAGAAAAAAAACGCUUCUGGGAGGAAAGUGAUUUUGCGUCUUAGCCUUCCGUCAGUCUAAGACCUUCGCGUCCCCGAUGAAUACUGGAGCCAUCCAGUAGGGGUAUGCCGUUGGAUUGCACUCUUUCUUUUUUGUCGAAUCGAGAGCGAUGCAAAGCGUGUGUACAACUCAUUCUCCGCCAUCCUUUUUUUCUAAGGGUAAGGAGGCGAAGUUUGUUGGAAAGCGCAAAAAGAAGAUUGAUUG